rnacentral:snRNA from 1 species
UUGCUUUGGCAGCACAUAUUCUAAAAUUGGAAUGAUACAGAGAAGAUUGGCAUGGCCACUGAGCAGGGGUGACACGUAAAUUUAUGAAGCAUUUCAUAUUUAA